GUGCGAUAAAUAAAACAUUGAUAACUUUGUUAUUUGUGGUAACCCUCAAUACUGAACUGAAACACAUGCCGCCAUUUCUGUCCACGUAACUUAAAGGAAUUUGGUAGGUGUCAGAGCUUUGAUGGCGGGAGGGAUAAAUUGUAAAUGAUGCUAAAAAGGCAGUUGUAGACAUAAUAGCAUGAUGGCCAAGUAGUACUCAUAAUGCUUUUCAUGUAGAAAUGGAGUAUUUUCAGAGACGUCUUUGUAUCUCACCACAUAUGGAGAUGAAAUUUCCUUCUUGAGCAUAAUAGGACAUCAUCUUUUGUUCAAACUAACAGAACUUCACUGUAUAUGCAGUAUUAGCUCAAUAUAACAAUUUCUGGAUGGAGGAGAUUCAGCUGAUGAAGACAUUCUUCUUGAUGGUCUAAUUCAUCUGCCAUCUCACAGGCCUCAUACCCAUGUAGUUUACUGAAACAGGCAAGAGAAGAAGAAAUUUUUUUUUUUUUUUUUUUUUGUAAAAAAAGAUAAAAGAUUUACUACUGUGUUUAGAAGCAGUUGAACUUUAAGCACAUAAGGCUUGUGUCUGUCAUGGGAGACAUUUUGGUCCUAACAUAAGGCUGGUACUGAUACGAAGUAUGACUGCACGUGGCAUAAAGAAUACAUAUUCAUUUGUUUUGGGUAGCAAUAUGUCUGGCAGUAUGGCCGUUGGCAACUUUCGCUUAAAUGUAAGAGAGAAUGUUUGACUCCACAUUGGCAUCUAGUUGUAUUAAUACUAUCUUCAUCUCUAAACUGGAAACAUGUAUUUGCACAAUAAAUUCCAUUUCAAAAUCAGG